rnacentral:rRNA from 1 species
AGAGUUUGAUCAUGGCUCAGGAUGAACGCUAGCGGAACGCUUAACACAUGCAAGUCGAACGAGAAUCUAACUUCGGUUAGAGGAAAGUGGCGAACGGGCGAGUAACGCGUGUCUAACCUGCCCUGGAGUGGAUGACAACUAUGGAGACAUAGCUAAUCAUUCAUACGUCCCUACGAAUGGAAAUAGUAGGGAGAAAGAUUUAUCGCUCUGGGAGGGGGAUGCGUCCUAUCAGCUAGUUGGUGAGGUAAUGGCUCACCAAGGCAAUGACGGGUAGCCGGUCUGAGAGGAUGUCCGGCCGCAAUGGAACUGAGAUACGGUCCAUACUCCUACGGGAGGCAGCAGUGGGGAAUAUUGCACAAUGGGCGAAAGCCUGAUGCAGCGAUUCCGCGUGGAGGGUGAAGCCUUAAGGGGUGUAAACUUCUUUUCUGGAGGAAGACGAAUGACGGUACUUCAGGAAUAAGGGACGGCUAACUACGCGCCAGCAGCCGCGGUAAUACGUAGGUCCCGAGCGUUAUCCGGAGUUACUGGGCGUAAAGCGUCUGUAGCCUGAUACGUAAGUCUAUUUUCAAAGAUCGUGACUCAAUCAUGGAAAGGGAGUAGAUACUGCAUAUCUAGAGUAUUUUAGGGGUUAGUAGAAUUUUCGGUGGAGCGGUGAAAUGCGUUGAUAUCGGAAGGAAUGCCAAAAGCGAAAGCAGCUAACCAUAAAAUUACUGACGGUCAGAGACGAAAGCUUGGGUAGCAAACGGGAUUAGAUACCCCGGUAGUCCAAGCCGUAAAUGUUGCUUGCUAGAUGUUUGGCCUAGUGCCGAGUGUCGAACCUAACGGGUUAAGCAAGCCGCCUGGGUAGUAUACUCGCAAGAGUGAAACUCAAAGGGAUAGGCGGGGGAACACACAAGCAGUGGAUCUUCUGGAUUAAUUGGAUAUAGCCAAGAUCUUACCUAGGUUUGACAUGUACUUUGUCGUAUGUGAAAGCAUGCUAGUCACGCUUGUCGUGACAGGGUACACAGGUGGUGCAUGGUCGUCGUCAGCUCGUGCCGCAAGGUGUCCAGUUAAGUCUGGUAACGAGCGCAACCCUCGUCUCUAGUUAUUAUGUCUAGAGAAACUGCCUGAGUAAUCAGGAGGAAGGAGAGGAUGACGUCAGAUCCUCAUGCCCCUUAUACCUAGGGCGUCAUAGAAGAUACAAUGGGUAGGACAAUGAGAAGCGAGGCCGUGAGGCGGAGCAAAUCUUCAAACCUACCCUCAGUUCGGAUUGUAGUCUGGAACUCGACUACAUGAAGUUGGAAUUGCUAGUAAUGGCGAAUCAGCCAUGUCGCCGUGAAUAUGUCCCUGUUCCUUGCACUCACCGCCCGUCAAGACAUGGGAGCUAAGGUUCUUUGAAGACUGACAAUGUCGGUUUAGGAGGAAAUUAGUGACUGGGUUUAAGUCGUAACAAGGUAACCGUA